GUAGGGAAUUUUGCGCAAUGGGGGAAACCCUGACGCAGCAACACCGCGUGAAUGUUAAGCCCUUCGGGGUGUAAAGUUCUGUCAGUGGGGAAGAAAAAGUGACUGUACCCACAAAGGAAGCACCGGCUAACUCCGUGCCAGCAGCCGCGGUAAUACGGGGGGUGCAAGCGUUGUCCGGAAUCAUUGGGCGUAAAGCGUUCGUAGGCGGUAAAGUAAGUCAGAUGUUAAAGCCCGGGGCUCAACUCCGGUUCGGCAUUUGAUACUACUUAACUAGAAUGCGGUAGAGGUAAAGGGAAUUCCUGGUGUAGCGGUGAAAUGCGUAGAUAUCAGGAGGAACAUCGGUGGCGAAAGCGCUUUACUGGGCCGUUAUUGACGCUGAGGAACGAAAGCCAGGGGAGCAAAUGGG
rnacentral:rRNA from 1 species